AUACAAAACCAAUGCCCUUCGAGGCUCUCUUGGUGAUUCAUGAUAACUUCUCGAAUCGCACGGCCCCGCGCCGGCGAUGGUUCAUUCAAAUUUCUUCCCUAUCAACUUUCGAUGCUACGGUAUUGUCCUAGCAUGGUUG
rnacentral:rRNA from 1 species